rfam:Desulfotomaculum aeronauticum DSM 10349 genome assembly, contig: EJ44DRAFT_scaffold00013.13
GACCUAUUAGCUCAGUUGGUAGAGCACCUGACUUUUAAUCAGGGUGUCCCGCGUUCGAGUCGCGGAUGGGUCA